UUCCCCAUGAAAGAAGAGUAAGUUUCGUUGCGUGAUACGUAGCCGAUUUCUAAAAUAUUUAACAUGUUUAGCUCACCAAUCUUUGUCUUAUAAGCGGGAUUUUCCAGUAGCUGUGAUUCAAACUUUAGGGAGUGGUUUCGAUCCAUGUUGUCUAACUCUAAGAGAGAAGAUGCUAUCCAAAACCUAUAUGAGUUCUUCGUCCAUUGUAUGGGAUUAGUCUCAAAGAAAAGGUUACUCUUUUUCAUUUGGCUUCUUCCUCCUUUUAGUGUAAUGUGGUUAAACCUUGAAGUUAACGUUCAUGUAAAGUGAAAACAUAACAUGUUGUUGACGUGAUAACUUUUUUUCUCAGAGUGAAGGUUCAGGUGUUGAAGCCUUCGAUUCAACUACAUUUGAUGCUUCUUUAAACUGGAAGGUUUAAUCUUGUCAACUGAUACUGUUCGUGUCCUUGAAUACUAGGGAUUACUUACAAUGUUUGAACUGGAAUGUUUUAGGAUAUUGAAUGGUUAAGAUCUGUUACAAAGUUGCCAGUUCUGGUCAAAGGGAUACUCAAACGUGAAGAUGCUCUUAAAGCUAUUGAAGCUGGUGUAGAUGGGAUAGUUGUUUCAAACCAUGGGGAUCGCCAGCUUGACUAUUCACCAGCUACUAUAACUAUUUUAGAAGAGAUUGUUCAUAUUGUUGGAGGGAGGGUGUCGGUUUUGCUUGAUGGAGGUGUGGGACGAGGGACAGACGUUUUCAAAGCGUUGGCACUAGGAUCACAAGCUGUUCUUGAAAGCUUUUCUAGGAUUUGGACAUUUGGCACACAUCUUUCAGGUUGCUCUAUGUUGAUAUAAUGACGCAAUUUGGUUGGGUUAUGCAGAUAGGGAGGCCUGUAGUGUAUGGGCUUGCAGCCAAAGGUGAAGAUGGAGUGAGAAAAGUGAUUGAGAUGUUGAAGAAUGAGUUGGAGUUAACCAUGGCUAUUUCUGGUUGUCCCACCAUUGAUGACAUCACCAGAAACCAUGUUAGGACUGUGAGUGAUAGACUUAAAUCUAUGCUCUGAUCCUCAAAGACAUUUGUGGAAAGUGUUACUAUGCAUGUCUUUGUGUGGUGUUUUUGUUGUUCAUAUGAACGCCUAUGAGAAAAGGAUCUUCAGAAAGAUUAUCACAUUGUAUACAGUUU